AGUGAUGGACUAAGUGUGAUCCGGCCUGACCCACCUCCGGCCGGCGUGAGAAGGGGCAUGUGUCGGGCUACGCUCGGGCUUCCCCUGCCGCCCAUUGUGAUCCAGCCCGCUAGGCGCUCCCUGCCGCCCAUUGUGACGCCUGCCAGCCGCAGGCUGGGUCCCCGAGGCGGGCGGCAUUUAGGCUCGGUCUCCACAGCCAUGGCCGCGACGCAGGAGCUGCUGCUGCAGUUGCAGAAGGAUAACCGAGAUGGUCGCCAGCGGAAGCAGGAGCUAGAGAAGCUGAUACGCGGGCUCGAGGCCGAGAGCGAGAGCCUCAACCAGCGCCUGCAGGACCUAAGCGAGCGGGAGCGGAGCCUGCUGCGGAGGCGAAGCCAGGCAGCGCAGCCUCUGCAAAGGGAGGCGCGCGAGGCGGCGCGGGAGCGCGCGGAGCGGGUGCGCAGAAGACUGGAGGAGGCGGAGCGCCACAAGGAGGACUUGGUGAGGAAGAGUCCUGGAAUGGGGCUGGACCCAGGGUGGGGUGGGGCAGGGCGGGCGGAAGGGGGCCGGAUCCGGGGGUGGGGUGAGGUAGGACCGGCGGAGAGGUCGGCACCGCCCCAGGACCCUGUCCGCAGGAGCAGCACAGCAGGCAGCUGCAGGAGCAGUGGGAGGAGCUGUCGAGUCAGGUACGUGCAGGAGAUGGGAGGCCUGUCUCUUGGUUCCUCUCGAAGUCCUGCCCUUGUCCUCGCCCUUGUUGCCUCCCUGUCCCUGUCUCCCCUGACACCCGUUCCUCCAGAAGCCCGGUAAACCCCGCCCUUACGAGCCCCGCCCCUAGCUCUUCUACUACGGAGGAGAACCGCAGAGCCAGAAGAGCACGGAGCAGCAACUCGCAGCCCAGUUGGUGACGCUGCAGAAUGAACUGGAGCUGGCGGAGACCAAAUGCGCCUUGCAGGAGGAGAAGCUGCAGCAGGGCGCGCUGCAGACAGCGGAGGCCUGGGCCAUAUUCCAGGAGCAGACCGUAGUCCUGCAGGUGCGGCCCCACUCAGACGCCAAGGUGCCUCCCGCCUCUCCUCCCCCAGACCUGGGGCGGUAAGUCUCCCAACCCACCGCCAGGACGCCUCCCCGAGGCCUCAGUCCGCACUCUCACCCGCUCCAGGAGGUGCAGGUGAAGGUGAUGGAGGCUGCGGAGGAGCUGGACGCCUGGCAGAGUGGCCGGGAACUGUAAGGGAGUUGGGCCUGCGGGCGCGGCGGGGCACUGUGGGGCCGGGCUGGGCUCCCACCUGCAUGCCUGUUCCCGCAGGUGUGACGGGCAGCUUCGCGGAGUGCAGUACAGCACCGAGUCGCUCAUGGAGGAGAUGGCCAGGGCGGACCGAGAGACGCGGCUGUUCGGCGGUCCUCGCGCGCUGGCCAUCAGGUGAGCCGGGCGGUGGGCGCGGCCGCGGUCCCCCAGGUGCCCGCCCGAGCUGCCGCCCACCUGCCCGCCUUUCGCCCCGCAGGCGGUGCGUGCUGGGCGCGCUGCAGGUGCUGCUGACGCUGCCGCUCCUCUUCCUGGGGCUGUCGCUGCUCUGGACGGUGCUGUUGGACCCCGGCGCCGUCUCCGCGUGGCUCUGGAGCCUCACCUCGGAGACGACGCUGCGCCGCCUGCGCUACACGCUGUCCCCGCUGCUGGAGCUGCGCGCUAACGGGCUGCUGCCAACCUAAGUGCAGCGCCCCGCGCCUGGCUCCAGGUGGACGCCAGGGCACCUGGCUUUAUUUCUGGUGCACUCCUCUCCUGAGAGUGUAGACCAAGGUCGCCUAAUAAACUCCUCAAGGGAUG
rnacentral:sRNA from 1 species